AUGACAAAGACCAUCCAGACUAAUGAUCUUAUUAUGCAGAAGCCAACUAAGGUGACUCAGCCAAGGUCAUAUGGUAUGCAAAAGCAGAACUGGACCUUAAACACAGCCUUUCAUGUAGGAGCAAAGAAUUGGGAAAAAAGACCAACAACUGAGGAAUGGCUCAACAAAUGGCAACAUCUGAAUUUAAUAAAAUACCACUGUGCCGUAACAAUAUGGCUAAUAUAGAGAAACAUGGAAGGACUUAAAUGAACUAAUUUACAGUGAAGUAAGAAGAGCCAAGAAAACAAUUGACACAAGGACUAAAAUAAUAUAAAUGGAAAGAGCCACCACAAAACAAUCUAAGAGAAUACUGCAAAAUUAGAGAGAAUGAUCAUGAACUCAGAGAAGAGAUAUGAGAAGACAAUGUCUCCCCUCUACAUUUCUUGCUUCUCACAUAGAUUGUCAUACAGGUAUGUACUAUUUUUAUGUUGUCAGACUUUCUCUUAAUGUUAUUCACUUUUGCUCAUUUUUCUUUUGAUAUUUUCUUUCAAAUUUAUAUACAUACAUGAAGACAGCACUACGUAUACUGUAAGGGGGAAAUAUGUACAUAUGCAUAUAUGUUUUAGAAGGGAAUCAGAGAAGUAUAGAUAACACUAAAAAUAGCAGUACAAUUAUUUUUAAAAGAGAAAAAUGACCAUAAUCACAAGUUUUGUGGGAAAGGAAAACUCAUUUAUUUUGUUGUUUUAAAUGUUUUUUUUUCUAUACAUGAGUUUGCACUGUAAUUAUUAUUAUCCUAUUACAAAUUAAAAAACUAAAGUUAAUAGGAUAAAUGACUUGCUUAAGGACAUACAGGGAAUAGAGUAGAACAGGGAUUGAGUACAGAAUUGGUGGUGCAAACAAAUGUUAUAGAAGUUAAAAGGAUGGAAAAUUAUUGUGGGGUUAAAUAGUUUGAUGGAAAGUCAUCAUUAAGGAUGGAUGGCUUUGAGUCAUAGCUAUCACUAAUUAGAGAAAUGAUAGGUUGUUUCAUCUUUAUCAGCCUCAGUUUCUUCUCUAAAAAAUCAAAUCAGUGAAAAUGAUACCAAAGAAUUUCUGCAAGGGAAUAUGGGAAGCAGUUGAAUAACUGAUAUUUAUACUAAAUUGUUAUAAUUAUCCAAAAGUAAAUAUAUAAACAC
rnacentral:lncRNA from 1 species